GACGGUUAUGGGAGAAUUGGCUAAUCCUACCAACUUGGAAAGUUGGCGCUUUCGAGCAUGCAGAUUCGAUUUCUGCAACCGUCG
rnacentral:tRNA from 1 species